rnacentral:rRNA from 1 species
UACGGGGGGGGCAAGCGUUGUCCGGAAUCAUUGGGCGUAAAGCGCGUGUAGGCGGUCCGGUAAGUCCGCUGUGAAAGUCGGGGGCUCAACCCUCGAAUGCCGGUGGAUACUGUCGGGCUAGAGUGCGGAAGAGGCGAGUGGAAUUCCUGGUGUAGCGGUGAAAUGCGCAGAUAUCAGGAGGAACACCUAUUGCGAAGGCAGCUCGCUGGGACGUAACUGACGCUGAGACGCGAAAGCGUGGGGAGCAAACAGG